UACGGGGGAGCAAGCGUUGUUCGGAUUUACUGGGCGUAAAGGGCGUGUAGGCGGUUUGUUAAGUCAUGUGUGAAAUCCCUCGGCUCAACCGGGGAACGACGCAUGAAACUGGCAAGCUAGAGUACCAAAGAGGGGGUGGAAUUCCCGGUGUAGCGGUGAAAUGCGCAGAUAUCAGGAGGAACACCGAUGGCGAAGGCAGGUCUCUGGGCCAUAACUGACGCUGAGAAGCGAAAGCAUGGGGAGCGAACAGG
rnacentral:rRNA from 1 species